rnacentral:lncRNA from 1 species
UUUCUUUUUAUUACGAGUUCUUAGGAGUUCGUCGACUUAAGCUCGGCGUAUUCUCAAGUUCCGCGUGAAUACCUCUUGGCCGUGGCAUCCGGGCACAUCGCUGUUGUCGGGACCAAAGUAUUCGAGUUGUCACCUUUGCCGAUAGUAAGGUCAAAUCGGCUGGCACGCCUUAACAUUUGAAAUCGGGUAUUAGCCCUUUGUGUUUGCAGAUCCACUUUUGCAUCAACACAUCUUUUGGCACGC